UACGUAGGGUGCAAGCGUUAAUCGGAAUUACUGGGCGUAAAGCGUGCGCAGGCGGCGAUGUAAGACAGAUGUGAAAUCCCCGGGCUCAACCUGGGACCUGCAUUUGUGACUGCAUCGCUAGAGUACGGUAGAGGGGGAUGGAAUUCCGCGUGUAGCAGUGAAAUGCGUAGAUAUGCGGAGGAACACCGAUGGCGAAGGCAAUCCCCUGGACCUGUACUGACGCUCAGGCACGAAAGCGUGGGGAGCAAACAGG
rnacentral:rRNA from 1 species